GAGUUUGAUCCUGGUUCAGGACGAACGCUGGCGGCGUGCCUAACACAUGCAAGUCGAACGAGGUCCACUUGGUGGCAACACCGGGGAAAACCUAGUGGCGAACGGGUGAGUAACACGUGAGCAACCUGCCCCGAAGUCUGGGGUAACACCGGGAAACCGGUGCUAAUACCGGAUGUCCCUGUCGUGCCGCAUGGCAUGAUGGGGAAAGGAUUUCCGCUUUGGGAGGGAGUCGCGGCCUAUCAGUUUGUUGGUGAGGUAAAAGCUCACCAAGACGACGACGGGUAGCUGGUCUGAGAGGACGAUCAGCCACACUGGGACUGAGACACGGCCCAGACUCCUACGGGAGGCAGCAGUGGGGAAUCUUGCGCAAUGGGCGAAAGCCUGACGCAGCAACGCCGCGUGGAGGACGAAGGCCUUUCAGGUUGUAAACUCCUUUCAGCAGGGACGAAAAUGACGGUACCUGCAGAAGAAGCCCCGGCCAACUACGUGCCAGCAGCCGCGGUAAUACGUAGGGGCGAGCGUUGUCCGGAAUUAUUGGGCGUAAAGAGCUCGUAGGCGGCUUGGCAAGUCG
rnacentral:rRNA from 1 species